AAUCAACGCUGGCGGCGUGCCUCAGACAUGCAAGUCGAACGCGAAAUCCCGAGCAAUCGGGAAAGUAGAGUGGCGCACGGGUGAGUAACACGUAGGUAAUCUACCUUCGGGUGGGGAAUAACAACCGGAAACGGUUGCUAAUACCGCAUAAUGCAGCGGCACCUAAUGGUGACAGUUGUUAAAGCGGGGGAGUCGCAAGACCUCGCGCCUGAAGAGGAGCCUGCGGCGGAUUAGCUAGUUGGCAGGGUAACGGCCUACCAAGGCGACGAUCCGUAGCCGGCCUGAGAGGGCGGUCGGCCACACUGACACUGACAUACGGGUCAGACUCCUACGGGAGGCAGCAGUCGGGAAUUUUGGGCAAUGGGCGAAAGCCUGACCCAGCAACGCCGCGUGAAGGAUGAAAUCCCUCGGGAUGUAAACUUCGCAAGAACGGGGGAGAAUAAGUCUAAGCCAAUAACUUAGAUGAUGACGGUACCGUUUGUAAGCUCCGGCUAACUCCGUGCCAGCAGCCGC
rnacentral:rRNA from 1 species